GAGACAUGGAUCAAUGGUUAAGAGCACUGACUGCUCUUCCAGAGGUCCUGAGUUCAAUUCCCAGUAAUCACA
rnacentral:tRNA from 1 species